rnacentral:rRNA from 1 species
UGAGGAAUAUUGGACAAUGGGUGAGAGCCUGAUCCAGCCAUGCCGCGUGCAGGAAGAAGGCGUUAUGCGUUGUAAACUGCUUUUGCCAGGGGAUAAAACGAGCUUGCGAGCUUAAUUGAAGGUACCUGGUGAAUAAGCCACGGCUAACUACGUGCCAGCAGCCGCGGUAAUACGUAGGUGGCAAGCGUUGUCCGGAUUUAUUGGGUUUAAAGGGUGCGUAGGCGGCCCUGUAAGUCAGUGCUGAAAUAUCCCGGCUUAACCGGGAGGGUGGCAUUGAUACUGCAGGGCUUGAGUACAGGUGAAGUAGGCGGAAUUGACGGUGUAGCGGUGAAAUGCAUAGAUAUCGUCAAGAACACCGAUAGCGAAGGCAGCUUACUAAGCUGUAACUGACGCUGAGGCACGAAAGUGUGGGGAUCAAACA